rnacentral:tRNA from 1 species
GGGGGGUUAGCUCAGCUGGGAGAGCAUCUGGUUCGCAAUCAGAAGGUCGGGAGUUCGAUCCUCCUACCCUCCACCA